UGAGAAGUCUGACGGAGCACGCCGCGUGAGUGUGAAGGCUUUCGGGUCGUAAAACUCUGUUGUUAGGGAAGAACAAGUGCUAGUUGAAUAAGCUGGCACCUUGACGGUACCUAACCAGAAAGCCACGGCUAACUACGUGCCACAGCCGCGGAUUCGUAGGUGGCUCCAUAAUCUGUAUAUCGUUUUAAAACGCGUAUAUU
rnacentral:rRNA from 1 species